CAUGAAUAUGAAGGGGAAAGGUGAAAAUAUGCUUUAAGAGCACCAAUUUAUAUGGUGUAGUAAAAGCUUCUUCUAUUAAAUACGAUGUGGCGACUGAAACUCUAAUUGAUGCUCCAUUUCGAAAAGGUGGCGAAAAAAAAAAAAAAAUUAGAUUAAUUGAUCGAAUUUGUGGACAGGAGCUGUUUGGAAUGAAG